GGGCGGUUAGCUCAGUUGGCUAGAGCGUCUGGUUUACACCCAGAAGGUCGAUGGUUCGAGUCCAUUACCGCCCACCA
rnacentral:tRNA from 1 species